UGCUUGUCAUUAACGGCCGGUCCCCGAGGGGGGGGGGCAGCGGGCCCCGGGGACAUCCCCCCCCGGGACCCCCGGCCGCGUCACGGCGCGGGGCGGUCCCCCGCGACCCGCUGGCUUCGCGCGGGGCCGCCCGCCCCUCCCCCGCGGGGCGUCCGCGCGCAUGCGCCCUCGGCGGGGCGGGGGAAGCGCGGCGCCGCCGGGCCUCUUGGGGGGCAGCCGGGUGGAUCGUGCCCCCCUGCCCCGCUGCCUCCAGGCGUCCAGAGAGCCCCUGCCCCGCGCCGGGGCAGCCCUUGUGUUUCGCCGGGCCCCGGGGCAUUCCCGCGGGGGGGCAGGGCUGAAGCGAAGCGGGACGUGGCGCAGGGGCUGCGGUCCCUGUCUGCGGGGCGGCCAGCUCUGUCCCCCUCGCGCCUGCCACCUGCCUCUGCAGGAGCCCGAGGCGGGCGCCAGGCUAGCGCGCUCCUGGCCGUGGUGUGCACGGGGGGCGGGGAGGGGUCACCCGAGCGGCCUGGCCGCCUCAUGCCGAGCAUCGCUGCCCUCUCCUCGCUGUCCCUUCCGGCUGCUGGAGGCUUCCCUGCCUGGGUUUGCUAACCUCUCAAGCCUGAAUGCGCCGGCACUUACUGCUAAGGACUCGCACCCUGGCUGUCAGCCCCUGAGAAAUAAAGAUCAGCAGUACCUCCCUUCAACUGAGUCUCAGUGAGUUGUUGAUACCUCUUCCUAGUCCCUGUUCCCACCAUGCUGCCAGCCACCCAUUCCCCUUCCUUAUGAAGAUCCUGAAGCUACAGAGAUGGAAGGAGGAGGACGUGGAGGACAGCCUCUGUUUUAUGGUGAUGUGCAUCUCACUCAUGAAUGCUAAGACUGUGGAAGUUUGCACACCUGUUCUGAUGGGUUCCCAGCACCUUUAUGUAAGUAGACAAGGGCAUGCUUUCACUGCAUAGUAAACUCAGGUUAUUGGCACCCAACUCAGUCUACCACAGAUGUAGACUGGCUUCAGUGGUCCAUGCCUUUAUGAAGCACGCUGCAUUAAUACAAUGUGCCUGCUCUGCUUGGCACUGUACAUUGAAUCCAUGCAGAAAAUGGGAAGUCACGAAGAAUGCAGCACCAUGAUCUAUGCUGGUUUGUCUGUUUGUUUUCUGGGAGAAUCUAUGGUACUGGUUUUGACCUACAAUACACUAAAACAUGGUCUGAGACAAACCUAGUAGAACUGAGCAGAUAUGCUUACACCUGUAGCCCCUUUGGCUCAAAGGAGAGGAGGGAAAGGAAGAGGGUAUUCCCUGUAAAGGGGCUUUAUAGUAGGUUGGCUGGCAGAGGAUUGCAGCAGUCUACACACAUUCGCUGUAGCACGCUACAUGCUGGAAGGGGCUGCAGCCCAGUCACAGACAGUUGGGAGUGAUUACAGGCUCCCUAGGAGGACUGAGAUAGCUGAUCUAGAUAAUUGGCUGGCCACAGGAGGUUAAGAGCCUCCCAAGGAAAGGAAAGUUGGAUCCAGAGUGCACAACUGGUAGUCCAGUAGGGAUUGUAAGGGAAGAGGCAGUGCAAUAGAGCCCAGUGGGGCAAUCCCAUAAUGCCUGCAGAUGGUGCAUUGAGAGUUAGCCCGUGAAAGACAAUCCCAUAGUGCCAGUGGGCACAUGGAAUUGGAUAGCUUUGCCCAGGGCUAGGAGCAGUACAGGAGAACUGUAGGCUAGGAGUUGUCUAAGCUUGGGGCAAAGCCCAGAAAGGGCAAUACUAGAGCCAGGGAGGGCCAGAUUCAGAGUGAGAAUAGCUUUGCCCUAGGCAAGGAAAAGUAUGGGGAAAGCUGUGGCCCAGAAUCCAUCCAAGCUUGGGCCAAAGCUAAAAGGGUGAAACUAUGGCCAGGGGGCCUAGAACUCAAGUCGAGGACUAUCCUUCUAGAGAGGGGAAGGGGGAGAUAGAGAAUAGGAAGAGGGUUCCUCUAGCAGGCUGGCUAACAGAGAAUUGCAGCAGACUGCAUACAUUUGGCUAUAGCACUCUACAGGUUGGUAGGGGCUACAGCCCAGCUACAGACAGCUGGGAAUGAUUACAGGCUGCCUAGAAGGACUGGGCCAGCUGAUAUAGAUAAUUGGCUGGCCACAGGAAGUUAAGAGGCUGUGAGUUAAGCAAUAAACUUGAACCUGCUACGGGCUUAUUUCCAGAAUUCACAAUGUCACCAUUACCCUUGAUGUGACAUGGUCCAAAGUUAUCUUGGAAAGGCCUGUCCCUUUUUCAGGCUUUAGAGAAAUAUGGUGUAAGGUAUAGCAUAGGGGAGGAGUAUUGUUUGGGCUGGCUUUUCACUUUUAAUCCCUGCUGUGCAAAGACUUGCACACAAUAAUUAAUGCACUAUAUUGCACCCCGAAAGGGCUAGUCAUAUGUGUAUGCCUUUGUCAGAUCACAGUGUAGACUCUACUAUUGUUUUUUAUGAGGUUUGAUGAAAAACUGCUGCAAACAAUGUUGUUUCUGAUACAUGCUGAAAGCACCAGUUCUGACUUCAUAUUUUGUAUUGUUGCUAUAAAUUGAAAUAAAAGGAAUAUAAAAAAUAAAAUAUUCUGUAGCUGUAUUUAUACUACAAGAAUCUAGCAGCUGGCACAAAAUCUUUCUGUGUAAGGAAAAAGUGCUUUCAGUGAGCAAAAAAGUGCACAUGAAUAGAAAGCACAGUUUACCCAUUAUUUUUUUUCUAUUCUCCCAUUAGCAUAGUAUUCAAGCACUGCAUGAUCUUUAACGUAUUUUUCUCUUCCCAACACCUCAUGGAGAUAGAACAAUCUUGUUGUCUUACAGGCAAAGCACAGAACCAGAUAACUCACAAAGUCAUACAUGAGGUCUGUGGUAGAACAAGGACUUGCACUUACACCUCUCAAGUCACAGAGAGGUCAUGGGACCAGCCUUCUUCCCAACAACAUACUUAAAUCCAUCAGUUUGAAAUCUGCAGCUUGCAGCAUGUACAUGUGGGCAGUAGCAGAUCCUGGGCAAGGGGAUGCAGCCCCUUGCCCCCUCAUAUAGGCUGCAUUGCACAUGCACAGUAAGCCCAAAACUCACAGUGUGGUCCGUGUGGGCUCCUGCCAGCCCCCUGCCAGAGCUCUGCAUGAGCAGUGAGCUCUGAGCUCACCAGCUCACUAAGGUAGGGUCUGGCCAAAGCCCCUACUUAUGCAUGGCCUGGAGCCCAGGUGGUGAACACUGCUGCUGUUUGACCUUCCCCUCCUUCCCACUUCCCAGUAAAUUCAGCAGCAAGGGAGAAGGGGGGACAAGCAGGAAUGGCAGUGCUCACAUUCUGGGUUCUAAACCCACAUGAAAGCAGGGCUCUAGCCAGACUGUGCACUGAGAGUUCAUAUGCAAUACAGCCAGGGGCUCCCCCCUGCACCAGGCCAUUUGAAAACCGAGCACUCAACAAUUAGCUGAUUGUCAGCUGGCUCCAGGACUACACUGGGUCUUGAACUGUCCCCCAGAACUUGCCAAUAAUCAACUGAUCAUUGGUUAGCUCCAAGGCUGCACCAAGGCUCAAACUGUCUGUGUUUUGAUCCCUGGUGAUAACAGUCAUCUGAGCUUUGGUGCGGUCCUGAUCCAGCCAACAAUCUGCUGACCCUUGGCCAGCAGGGACCGCACCAGGGCAUGUAUGAGCCCCAGUGCAGAACCAGAGCCAACAGAUUGUUGGCCACUGGGGACUGCACUGAAAUUGGUUGGGGACACCGUUGCAGUCCUAACCCAGUCAAAUGUUCAAUUUAAGAUGCGAUGGAAACCAGCCACAAAAAUAGUAAAGAUUAUUUGGAUAAUAUUUUUGUGGCUGGUUUCCCUUUUUGUUGCUUGAAUUUGUGGCCGAUUUACUUUUUAAGAAGUAAUUAAUAAACUAAUUGUGUCUUAAGUGUAACAUCUGCCAGGGGUUUUAUAGACUAACUUGUUCAGAGUUGGUCUGUCAAGUGUCAGCCUGCCUUGCCUUCUGCCUGACCUCAG